GAUGAACGCUGGCGGCGUGCCUAGUACAUGCAAGUCGAGCGAACAGACGAGGAGCUUGCUCCUCUGACGUUAGCGGCGGACGGGUGAGUAACACGUGGAUAACCUACCUAUAAGACUGGGAUAACUUCGGGAAACCGGAGCUAAUACCGGAUAAUAUAUUGAACCGCAUGGUUCAAUAGUGAAAGACGGUUUUGCUGUCACUUAUAGAUGGAUCCGCGCCGCAUUAGCUAGUUGGUAAGGUAACGGCUUACCAAGGCGACGAUGCGUAGCCGACCUGAGAGGGUGAUCGGCCACACUGGAACUGAGACACGGUCCAGACUCCUACGGGAGGCAGCAGUAGGGAAUCUUCCGCAAUGGGCGAAAGCCUGACGGAGCAACGCCGCGUGAGUGAUGAAGGUCUUCGGAUCGUAAAACUCUGUUAUUAGGGAAGAACAAAUGUGCAAGUAACUAUGCACGUCUUGACGGUACCUAAUCAGAAAGCCACGGCUAACUACGUG
rnacentral:rRNA from 1 species